rnacentral:rRNA from 1 species
UACAGAGGUCCCAAGCGUUGUUCGGAUUUACUGGGCGUAAAGAGCGCGCAGGCGGUCGCUCAAGUCGCGUGUGAAAGCCCCCGGCUCAACUGGGGAGGGUCACGCGAUACUGAUCGACUCGAAGGCAGGAGAGGAUAGUGGAAUUCCCGGUGUAGUGGUGAAAUGCGUAGAUAUCGGGAGGAACACCAGUGGCGAAGGCGACUACCUGGCCUGUUUCUUGACGCUGAGGCGCGAAAGCUAGGGGAGCAAACGGG